rnacentral:lncRNA from 1 species
CAGGGGGCUGAGCUCUGGCACCAGAGACCUUUAAGAAACAAAAGGAACUGAGAAAGCAGCCAGGAGUCUGCUCAGCCUGGAGUUCCUGGAAUUCUGCUUUGUGGGUAGCCAACAGCAUGGAUCUGCUGAAAAGGCAGAUGACAGCGGUAAAACAACAGCGGAGACAGACGACAGACGGAGAUCCAGGUAGAGCACAUGCACUGAGAAAACUCCAGGGAAGCCAAAAGCAUGGUAUCUGAACCGAGAGGUAAGCUGGCUCCUUCUCCAGGCCUCCCCUCCGCACUUCCUGCCACUCUGCUGAAGCAGGCUCCACGGUUCCUCCCAGCUCCAGCCUCCUGCUGGCCUCCUCCACGGCCCUCUGCAUCUGAAGAUGCACCGCAUCCGGGUGUGAGUCUUCAAAUCGAGUCCAUCGGCACAGUGGGUUGUAAGCUCCCUGAAGGCUGAGACUCACCCUGCUCUGCUCACCACGCUAUGCCCAGCUCAGCCAGCCCACAAGAGGAACCCAAGAAAUAUUUGCUGAGC